rnacentral:tRNA from 1 species
GCGCCGGUGGUCUAACGGCUACAGCUUUCUAAAAGCUGCUGUAAAUGACUGCGGCCUUCCAAGCCGCGUAUCCGGGUUCGAAAAGAGUACGACAUAAUACUAAAAGUGCGAUAUGCAGCAUGAGAUAAACUCGCCUGCGUCUAAAAUCCAUUCCGGAUUUUUAGAUAAUGCACACUAUCGUGUUGGGUUCGCCUAAGCACGAUCGGGAAUUUAUUCCCGACAAAAUGUGUCUUCGAAAGUCCCGGCUGGCGCA